GAUGAACGCUGGCGGCGUGCCUAAUACAUGCAAGUCGAGCGAACAGAUGAGGAGCUUGCUCCUCUGACGUUAGCGGCGGACGGGUGAGUAACACGUGGAUAACCUACCUAUAAGACUGGGAUAACUUCGGGAAACCGGAGCUAAUACCGGAUAAUAUAUUGAACCGCAUGGUUCAAUAGUGAAAGACGGUUUUGCUGUCACUUAUAGAUGGAUCCGCGCCGCAUUAGCUAGUUGGUAAGGUAACGGCUUACCAAGGCGACGAUGUGUAGCCGACCUGAGAGGGUGAUCGGCCACACUGGAACUGAGACACGGUCCAGACUCCUACGGGAGGCAGCAGUAGGGAAUCUUCCGCAAUGGGCGAAAGCUUGACGGAGCAACGCCGCGUGAGUGAUGAAGGUCUUCGGAUCGUAAAACUCUGUUAUUAGGGAAGAACAAAUGUGUAAGUAACUAUGCACGUCUUGACGGUACCUAAUCAGAAAGCCACGGCUAACUACGUG
rnacentral:rRNA from 1 species